rnacentral:rRNA from 1 species
AGUAACGGCGAGUGAAGCGGCAACAGCUCAAAUUUGAAAUCUGGCCCCCAGGGCCCGAGUUGUAAUUUGCAGAGGAUGCUUUUGGCGCGGUGCCUUCCGAGUUCCCUGGAACGGGACGCCAUAGAGGGUGAGAGCCCCGUCUGGUCGGACACCAAGCCAGUGUAAAGCUCCUUCGACGAGUCGAGUAGUUUGGGAAUGCUGCUCUAAAUGGGAGGUAUAUGUCUUCUAAAGCUAAAUACCGGCCAGAGACCGAUAGCGCACAAGUAGAGUGAUCGAAAGAUGAAAAGCACUUUGAAAAGAGGGUUAAACAGUACGUGAAAUUGUUGAAAGGGAAGCGUUUAUGACCAGACUUGGGCCCGGUGAAUCAUCCAGCGUUCUCGCUGGUGCACUUUGCCGGGCUCAGGCCAGCAUCAGUUCGUCGCGGGGGAUAAAAGCUUCGGGAACGUGGCUCCCUCGGGAGUGUUAUAGCCCGUUGCACAAUACCCUGCGGUGGACUGAGGUUCGCGCUCCGCAAGGAUGCUGGCGUAAUGGUCAUCAGCGACCCGUCUUGAAACACGGACCAAGGAGUCGUCUUCGUAUGCGAGUGUUCGGGUGUCAAACCCCUACGCGUAAUGAAAGUGAACGCAGGUGAGAGCUUCGGCGCAUCAUCGACCGAUCCUGAUGUUCUCGGAUGGAUUUGAGUAAGAGCAUACGGGGCCGGACCCGAAAGAAGGUGAACUAUGCCUGUAUAGGGUGAAGCCAGAGGAAACUCUGGUGGAGGCUCGCAGCGGUUCUGACGUGCAAAUCGAUCGUCAAAUAUGGGCAUGGGG